rnacentral:ncRNA from 1 species
GGGAGCCGUGUAAAGCGAAAGUUUUACGCACGGAUCUAACAGAGAGGGGCGCGGGAUAAUACCCGCCCUCGACUCUAC